rnacentral:ncRNA from 1 species
AAGUAUCUCCAAGUUCACCGAGUCUAUCGGUGAAUAGGAGUAACGGCUGGUUGGCGCAGCCAUCGACGUUCCUGUUUGACAAGGAAACUGGUGCGUUCGCACCUCAAGAACACGUAACGUCGUAAACCACAAUAUCCCAACGUGGGAAUCCUCGCCCUUCAGGGCGGGGA